UACGGAGGGUGCAAGCGUUGUUCGGAUUUACUGGGCGUAAAGGGCGUGUAGGCGGAUGUGCAAGCUGGGGGUGAAAGGCCAGGGCUUAACCCGGGACGGUCUCCCAGAACUGCACAUCUAGAGAGAGUCAGAGGCAGGUGGAAUUCCUGGUGUAGAGGUGAAAUUCGUAGAGAUCAGGAGGAACACCGGCGGCGAAGGCGGCCUGCUGGGACUCAUCUGACGCUGAGGCGCGAAAGCGUGGGGAGCAAACAGG
rnacentral:misc_RNA from 1 species